GGAGGGCUGGCCGAGUGGCCCAAGGCGGCGGAUUGCUAAUCCGUAACAGGGGUAACAACCUCUGUCGGGAGUUCGAAUCUCUCGCCCUCCGC
rnacentral:tRNA from 1 species